rnacentral:rRNA from 1 species
UUCAGCAGUUAACUGCAUUCGAUUUGAUAUCUUAAGAAUGCUUUUAUAAGCAGAGUCAGGCCUGGUUAGUACUUGGAUGGGAGACCACCUAGGAAGAUCAGAUGCUGUAGAUG